rnacentral:ncRNA from 1 species
CUAGUCGAGUGAUCCCGCGUGGAUAAUAAUCGGGCAUAAGUCCGCUGCCGAAGCCGUGGAACUGUCAUUAGUUGACAGUUGGUAGGGGAGCAUUCCGUAGGCCGAUGAAGGUCAUGCGCGAGCGUGGCUGGAGGUAUCGGAAAAGCAAAUGUAGGUAUAAGUAACGACAAGGGGAGCGAGAAACUCCCCCGCCGAAAGACCAAGGGUUCCUGAUCAACGCUAAUCGGAUCAGGUUCAGUCGGGACCUAAGGGGCAGCCGCAAGGCGCACCCGAUGGCCAGCCGGUCAACAUUCCGGCACCCGACGUAAGAGCGAUGCGGCGACGGAGAAGUGACACAUCCGCGCACUGACGGAAUAGUGCGUUGAACCGCGUAGUUAUAUCGGCGGCGGUGAAGUACACCGCCGAUGAUGAAACGGGACAGUACCGAGCGGCCCCGGCCAAUCGGAUAGUGAUGGUAAUCAGGCUCCCGAGAAAACCCGCUAAGCAAUCUUACGCCGGCCCGUACCGCAAACCGACACAGGUGGUCGGGUAGAACAUACUGAGGCGCUCGAGAGAAUCAUGGUUAAGGAACUAGGCAAAUUGACCCCGUAACUUCGGGAUAAGGGGUCCCCAUCGUAAGGUGGGGCGCAGAGAAUAGGUCCAGGCAACUGUUUAACAAAAACACAGGGCUAUGCAAAGUUUAACGACGACGAAUAU